CGGUUUCUUUGAAGUUUGACGCUCAACUCAGCGUCGGCGUCAUAUUGUGAACCAGGCUUUACAACUUGGAGAUCAAUGGCAGAGAAGACGAAGACAAGAACCACACGACCCACACGAAUUAAACAACGGAUUGCUUGACGACUGUCAAUAUAAAGUUCGAUGCAGACAACGUGAAAAGGGUGGUCACGGAGCCGUGGAGGCUGACAGAUAAGCAUGGAAACAUGGUUGCAUUCGACGAAGUUCGUCCACAAUGCAGGCUUUUCUGCUUUUACUCUCCGGACAAGACAUCGUACGCUUGCCGUGUGACAUCAGUCGUUACAAAAGGCACACUGAAAGGUGCACAACAAGGAGGCUCUCAACGGAA